UUAACCUACGGGACGCAGCAGUGGGGAAUAUUGCACAAUGGGGGAAACCCUGAUGCAGCGACGCCGCGUGAGUGAAGAAGUAUUUCGGUAUGUAAAGCUCUAUCAGCAGGGAAGAUAAUGACGGUACCUGAGUAAGAAGCCCCGGCUAACUACGUGCCAGCAGCCGCGGUAAUACGUAGGGGGCAAGCGUUAUCCGGAUUUACUGGGUGUAAAGGGAGCGUAGACGGCAGCGCAAGUCUGGAGUGAAAUGCCGGGGCUCAACCCCGGAACUGCUUUGGAAACUGUGCAGCUAGAGUGCGGGAGAG
rnacentral:rRNA from 1 species